rnacentral:tRNA from 1 species
CGGUGCAGUGGUGGGGUCAAUCAGAUGCAGCAGUUGGGAUCUGCUGAGAGUUAACGGCGGUUGUGUGUGCGCCAGCGCCGAC